rnacentral:rRNA from 1 species
UGGGGAAUUUUGGACAAUGGGCGAAAGCCUGAUCCAGCAAUGCCGCGUGUGUGAAGAAGGCCUUCGGGUUGUAAAGCACUUUUGUCCGGAAAGAAAUCCUUGGCUCUAAUACAGUCGGGGGAUGACGGUACCGGAAGAAUAAGCACCGGCUAACUACGUGCCGGCAGCCGCGGUAAUACGUAGGGUGCAAGCGUUAAUCGGAAUUACUGGGCGUAAAGCGUGCGCAGGCGGUUUGCUAAGACCGAUGUGAAAUCCCCGGGCUCAACCUGGGAACUGCAUUGGUGACUGGCAGGCUAGAGUAUGGCAGAGGGGGGUAGAAUUCCACGUGUAGCAGUGAAAUGCGUAGAGAUGUGGAGGAAUACCGAUGGCGAAGGCAGCCCCCUGGGCCAAUACUGACGCUCAUGCACGAAAGCGUGGGGAGCAAACAGGAUUAGUACCCUGGUAGUCCCACGCCCUAAACGAUGUCACUAGUUGUUGGGGAUUCA